UUGCACACGUCCCCUCGGUACGGCCUCCACCGGCCAAACUCAUCCUGCCAUUCCCACACCACCACUGCCGUGGAGCUGCUGUGCCCAGGGAUGGAGACAGGGGCUCCGGGGGGCCCGGCUGAGCUGCUUCCUGCUCCCUGAGCUGCUGCCAUGGUCUUCCCUGAGGUCUGGACACACGGAGAUCACAGGCGGCAGCUGCGCCAGCUGGCUUUACACCAUCUUCUGGGGAACCUCCGCCGCGUCUCCACAGCCGAGAGGCCCCACACCUGGCGGCCGCACCGCCCGCAGGCUCCGGGGAGGCCCGGAGGAUAACAGCUGCCCGCUGUUACGCUGUCCCCACAGCCGCAGGAGGGAGCAGCCCCCGGCACGGCUCGGCACGGCUCGGCACGGCUCGGCCCCUCUCACGUACGGCGCUCCCGGCGCGGCUCCCGGCGGCGCUGCCACUUCCCGGCCGCAGGCGGAGGCGGCAAACGCGCAUGCGCGGCGCGGGGCGCGCUGGGGGCUGUAGUGCGGAGGGCGGGGCAGGAAAAGGCGGCGAUUGGGGUGAGUGACGUGAGCGCGUCCCGCCGUGCGUGUGUGUGUGUGCGCUGUUGUGAGCGUGCUGGGCGUGUGCGUGAGGUAGGGCGCGACAGUCACAGAGGCGUUAAGACCGGAAGAGCCCCAAGGCCGCGUAGCCCAACCAUCCCUCAGGGCAGCGCUUCGUCCCUCCGGGUCUGUGCCCGUGGAAGGCGGAUGGGCGCACAGCCGCGGAGCGCCUCCGCGGGCACCAAACGGAGCCUUCCCUGCUCCGGAGCCCACCGUGGGCUGCGCUCGGCUGCCCCACGGGGGGACGCGUGGACGGGGGAGAGAAGCGAAGCGCGGGCAGUCGGGUCGGCGCAAUGUGGGUUGGGUGCCCCGCGGCGCUCACACGUCGGCGAACCCGCCUGUGGUGUUGGCGCUCUUAUGAGGGACAGCGUGAGGGGCUGCGGGUGGGGCGGCCGCGGCGCUUCUGUGGGCGGUGCAGGCAGAUGGGGUCGGGGUGCCCUCCCCGAUGGUGGUGCCAUGGGAACCACGGGAGCUGCAGAGCAGCAGCCGCCAUGGGGAGCGAUGGGAGCCGCAGUGUGCCGGCCCUGCCCUGAUCCGUCUCUCUCCCACCCCAUUGACCCCCAGCAUGGAGCUGCCACAGCGCAGCCUGCACCGUGCUGAGCUCAGCCUCCUUUGCUGGAUAUCCCACACAGAGCCGUUUUCACCAGCGGAGGUGAAGCUCUGCUCAAUAUGCUGUUUUGGAGCUGGCUCUGUACCCCUGCGCGGCGCCCGGCACCACACAAUGCAACGGAGCCCUUCGACUGCACCUUCUUGUACAGGAAAUCUACUCUAAUCAACUCCUUUGGGUUAAAUGAAAUAUUUAUUUUGAAAAGAAAAGGGAAACAAUUUAAAGGAACAAUAGUUGAACAUAUGGUAUCGUAGAGUCAAAGGGAGGCUUGGGUUGGAAGGGACCCCAAGGAUCACCAAGUUCCAACCCCGAUCCUCCAGAUGCAGUCCAGUCCAGGUUGCCCAGGGCUCCAUUCAAGCUGGUCUUGAACACCUCCAGGGAUGGGGCAUCCAGAGCCUCUCUGGGCAGCAGUCACAAUUAGAUGCAGCAGUCCAGUAAGGAGUCAGGAGUUUUGACGCCAAAAUAAAUUACUUGGACUAUCAAAACCCUUUGUCUCGGUUCCCUGCAGUAGCAGUAGCGGCGUUGAUGUUUCGUCCUGCAGUGCUCCGCCACAUCAGCAAACUCUCCUGUGGUCGGCUGGGAGAGCGGAGUGGCCGCGGGGCUUCCUGUGGGCUGCGCAGGCAGCUGGGCGUCGGGGUGUCCCUGCAGCAUGGCAGCCUGUCGUGCUGGAGCCGAAGUGCCAGGAGCUGGGGUGCUGUGCAGGGAUCACUGCGCCGGGGCUGACACGGAAGGGGCUGAAAGGUGCGUGGAGAUGAGCGCAGGUGCACAUCUGUGUGCCCGUCGUGGCUCCAACGGGGAGGACAUCUCCAACCCGAGGACAAAUGGCCACGUGUCUAUGGGGACCCCGUGCUGCAUUUCUUACCGGUGCCCACACCACUGCAGCCGCUGCACUCCCACGACUCAGCGUCCUCUGGGAUGGCAGAGCAGCGCUGGUGAGUCCCGCACGAAGCACAGGAGCUGCAGAGCAGCAUCCUCCAAGGCCUGGGGGAGCGACAGAAGCCCGAGCCGCACGGUCACCAGGGGUGCCGGGGCUGUGGGAUGCCAGCCCUGGGGUGGUCCAUGCCACUCCCACUCUGGUGGCUGGCACUGAGCUACCAAUGCACAGCUCGUGCCGUGCUGAGCGCAGCAUCCCGGCCAGCCUCCAUCCCAGCUGGAAGGAGGGGAUGAAGGCGCCACACCGCCACGGCUUUGGGGUCAGAGCACACUCACCCCGUGUUGUUUGAGUAGUCCCGUCCCAGCGAGCACAGGCACAGGCUGGCAUCGCAGGAGUUGUGCCGCUGGGAGAGCUCAUUGAAGGCUCCUUCUUCCUCCCAGGCUGCAUCCCUGCGGG
rnacentral:lncRNA from 1 species